UUAAGCGACUAAGCGUACACGGUGGAUGCCCUGGCAGUCAGAGGCGAUGAAGGACGUGCUAAUCUGCGAUAAGCGUCGGUAAGGUGAUAUGAACCGUUAUAACCGGCGAUUUCCGAAUGGGGAAACCCAGUGUGUUUCGACACACUAUCAUUAACUGAAUCCAUAGGUUAAUGAGGCGAACCGGGGGAACUGAAACAUCUAAGUACCCCGAGGAAAAGAAAUCAACCGAGAUUCCCCCAGUAGCGGCGAGCGAACGGGGAGCAGCCCAGAGCCUGAAUCAGUGUGUGUGUUAGUGGAAGCGUCUGGAAAGGCGCGCGAUACAGGGUGACAGCCCCGUACACAAAAAUGCACAUGCUGUGAGCUCGAUGAGUAGGGCGGGACACGUGGUAUCCUGUCUGAAUAUGGGGGGACCAUCCUCCAAGGCUAAAUACUCCUGACUGACCGAUAGUGAACCAGUACCGUGAGGGAAAGGCGAAAAGAACCCCGGCGAGGGGAGUGAAAAAGAACCUGAAACCGUGUACGUACAAGCAGUGGGAGCACGCUUAGGCGUGUGACUGCGUACCUUUUGUAUAAUGGGUCAGCGACUUAUAUUCUGUAGCAAGGUUAACCGAAUAGGGGAGCCGAAGGGAAACCGAGUCUUAACUGGGCGUUAAGUUGCAGGGUAUAGACCCGAAACCCGGUGAUCUAGCCAUGGGCAGGUUGAAGGUUGGGUAACACUAACUGGAGGACCGAACCGACUAAUGUUGAAAAAUUAGCGGAUGACUUGUGGCUGGGGGUGAAAGGCCAAUCAAACCGGGAGAUAGCUGGUUCUCCCCGAAAGCUAUUUAGGUAGCGCCUCGUGAAUUCAUCUCCGGGGGUAGAGCACUGUUUCGGCAAGGGGGUCAUCCCGACUUACCAACCCGAUGCAAACUGCGAAUACCGGAGAAUGUUAUCACGGGAGACACACGGCGGGUGCUAACGUCCGUCGUGAAGAGGGAAACAACCCAGACCGCCAGCUAAGGUCCCAAAGUCAUGGUUAAGUGGGAAACGAUGUGGGAAGGCCCAGACAGCCAGGAUGUUGGCUUAGAAGCAGCCAUCAUUUAAAGAAAGCGUAAUAGCUCACUGGUCGAGUCGGCCUGCGCGGAAGAUGUAACGGGGCUAAACCAUGCACCGAAGCUGCGGCAGCGACGCUUAUGCGUUGUUGGGUAGGGGAGCGUUCUGUAAGCCUGCGAAGGUGUGCUGUGAGGCAUGCUGGAGGUAUCAGAAGUGCGAAUGCUGACAUAAGUAACGAUAAAGCGGGUGAAAAGCCCGCUCGCCGGAAGACCAAGGGUUCCUGUCCAACGUUAAUCGGGGCAGGGUGAGUCGACCCCUAAGGCGAGGCCGAAAGGCGUAGUCGAUGGGAAACAGGUUAAUAUUCCUGUACUUGGUGUUACUGCGAAGGGGGGACGGAGAAGGCUAUGUUGGCCGGGCGACGGUUGUCCCGGUUUAAGCGUGUAGGCUGGUUUUCCAGGCAAAUCCGGAAAAUCAAGGCUGAGGCGUGAUGACGAGGCACUACGGUGCUGAAGCAACAAAUGCCCUGCUUCCAGGAAAAGCCUCUAAGCAUCAGGUAACAUCAAAUCGUACCCCAAACCGACACAGGUGGUCAGGUAGAGAAUACCAAGGCGCUUGAGAGAACUCGGGUGAAGGAACUAGGCAAAAUGGUGCCGUAACUUCGGGAGAAGGCACGCUGAUAUGUAGGUGAAGUCCCUUGCGGAUGGAGCUGAAAUCAGUCGAAGAUACCAGCUGGCUGCAACUGUUUAUUAAAAACACAGCACUGUGCAAACACGAAAGUGGACGUAUACGGUGUGACGCCUGCCCGGUGCCGGAAGGUUAAUUGAUGGGGUUAGCGGUAACGCGAAGCUCUUGAUCGAAGCCCCGGUAAACGGCGGCCGUAACUAUAACGGUCCUAAGGUAGCGAAAUUCCUUGUCGGGUAAGUUCCGACCUGCACGAAUGGCGUAAUGAUGGCCAGGCUGUCUCCACCCGAGACUCAGUGAAAUUGAACUCGCUGUGAAGAUGCAGUGUACCCGCGGCAAGACGGAAAGACCCCGUGAACCUUUACUAUAGCUUGACACUGAACAUUGAGCCUUGAUGUGUAGGAUAGGUGGGAGGCUUUGAAGUGUGGACGCCAGUCUGCAUGGAGCCGACCUUGAAAUACCACCCUUUAAUGUUUGAUGUUCUAACGUGGACCCGUAAUCCGGGUUGCGGACAGUGUCUGGUGGGUAGUUUGACUGGGGCGGUCUCCUCCUAAAGAGUAACGGAGGAGCACGAAGGUUGGCUAAUCCUGGUCGGACAUCAGGAGGUUAGUGCAAUGGCAUAAGCCAGCUUGACUGCGAGCGUGACGGCGCGAGCAGGUGCGAAAGCAGGUCAUAGUGAUCCGGUGGUUCUGAAUGGAAGGGCCAUCGCUCAACGGAUAAAAGGUACUCCGGGGAUAACAGGCUGAUACCGCCCAAGAGUUCAUAUCGACGGCGGUGUUUGGCACCUCGAUGUCGGCUCAUCACAUCCUGGGGCUGAAGUAGGUCCCAAGGGUAUGGCUGUUCGCCAUUUAAAGUGGUACGCGAGCUGGGUUUAGAACGUCGUGAGACAGUUCGGUCCCUAUCUGCCGUGGGCGCUGGAGAACUGAGGGGGGCUGCUCCUAGUACGAGAGGACCGGAGUGGACGCAUCACUGGUGUUCGGGUUGUCAUGCCAAUGGCACUGCCCGGUAGCUAAAUGCGGAAGAGAUAAGUGCUGAAAGCAUCUAAGCACGAAACUUGCCCCGAGAUGAGUUCUCCCUGACUCCUUGAGAGUCCUGAAGGAACGUUGAAGACGACGACGUUGAUAGGCCGGGUGUGUAAGCGCAGCGAUGCGUUGAGCUAACCGGUACUAAUGAACCGUGAGGCUUAACCUU
rnacentral:rRNA from 1 species